AUUGAACGCUGGCGGCAUGCCUUACACAUGCAAGUCGAACGGCAGCACGGGAGCAAUCCUGGUGGCGAGUGGCGAACGGGUGAGUAAUGUAUCGGAACGUGCCCAGUCGUGGGGGAUAACGUAGCGAAAGCUACGCUAAUACCGCAUACGAUCUAUGGACGAAAGCGGGGGAUCGCAAGACCUCGCGCGAUUGGAGCGGCCGAUAUCAGAUUAGGUAGUUGGUGGGGUAAAGGCUCACCAAGCCGACGAUCUGUAGCUGGUCUGAGAGGACGACCAGCCACACUGGGACUGAGACACGGCCCAGACUCCUACGGGAGGCAGCAGUGGGGAAUUUUGGACAAUGGGCGCAAGCCUGAUCCAGCAAUGCCGCGUGCAGGAUGAAGGCCUUCGGGUUGUAAACUGCUUUUGUACGGAACGAAACGGCGAGCUCUACUACAGUUUGCUAAUGACGGUACCGUAAGAAUAAGCACCGGCUAACUACGUGCCAGCCGCCGCCGUAA
rnacentral:rRNA from 1 species